rnacentral:rRNA from 1 species
GAUGAAUGCUGGCGGCGUGCUUAACACAUGCAAGUCGAGCGGCAGCGCGGUCUUCGGACUGGCGACGAGCGGCGGACGGCUGAGUAACGCGUGGGAACGUGCCCCAAAGUGAGGAAUAACUGCCCGAAAGGGUGGCUAAUGCCGCAUAUGGUCUUCGGAUUAAAGGAUUUAUCCGCUUUGGGAGCGGCCUGCGUAUGAUUAGGUAGUUGGUGAGGUAAUGGCUCACCAAGCCGACGAUCAUUAGCUGGUCUGAGAGGAUGACCAGCCAGACUGGAACUGAGACACGGUCCAGACUCCUACGGGAGGCAGCAGUGAGGAAGCUUCCACAAUGGGCGAAAGCCUGAUGGAGCAACGCCGCGUGCAGGAUGAAGGCUUUCGGGUUGUAAACUGCUUUUAUAAGUGAAGAAUAUGACGGUAACUUAUGAAUAAGCACCGGCUAACUACGUGCCAGCAGCCGCGGUAA